GCGUCCUCACUCUGAGAAUUCCCGACAAGUCAGCCAAUCUCUCAGACCCUCAAGACUACAUGGUGCAAGGGGUGAUGAGUCAACGGCGUGCACUGCUCAGGAGCAGCGACAACCAUCGUGUAAUGUUUUGAAAAACAAAAGUUCCAAAAUCGAAUCCCCUCUUCCGGAUGGGCGACGUGCGGAAGGAUCAUUAUUGAACUGUGUUUUUCAAAAACACUUACUCGAUGGGUUGUCGCUGGCUCCUCUGGAGCAUGUGCACGCCUGUCUUGACUUCAUUCAUCCACCUGUGCACCACUUGUAGUCUUUGAGGGGUCUGAGAGAUUGGCUGACUUGUCGGGAAAUGAAGAACGCAGCGAAAUGCGAUAAGUAAUGUGAAUUGCAGAAUUCAGUGAAUCAUCGAAUCUUUGAACGCACCUUGCGCUCCUUGGUAUUCCGAGGAGCAUGCCUGUUUGAGUGUCAUUAAAUUCUCAACUCCUCCAGCUUUUGUUAAGUUGGCUUUGGAGCUUGGAUUGUGGAGGUUUGCUGGCCCUUCUAUUGACUGGGUUCAGCUCCUCUGAAAUACAUUAGCGGAACCGUUUGCAAUCCGCCACAGGUGUGAUAAUUAUCUACGCCAGUGGGUUGCUCUCUGUGUUCGGCUGCCAAUCGUCUCUGCUUCAAGAGACAAUUUUCUGAAUGCUUGACCUCAAAUCAAGUAGGAGUACCAGCUGAACUUAAGCAUAUCUUAUCCGGAAAAAAGAAAAAAUUUUGAACUGUUGUUUUUCAAAACCUUACUCGAUGGGUUGUCGCUGCUCUCUGGAGCAUGUGCACGCCUGUCUUGACUUCAUCAUCCACUGUGCACCACUGUAGUCUUUGAGGGGUCUGAGAGAUUGGCCUGACUUGUGGGAAAUUUCGGAGUGAGGACUGC
rnacentral:rRNA from 1 species